rnacentral:rRNA from 1 species
UACGUAGGGGGCUAGCGUUGUCCGGAUUUAUUGGGCGUAAAGAGCGUGUAGGCGGCCAGGUAGGUCUGGUGUGAAAACUCGAGGCUUAACCUCGAGAUGUCAUCGGAAACCAUCUGGCUAGAGUCCGGAAGAGGAGAGUGGAAUUCCUGGUGGUAGCGGUGAAAUGCGCAGAUAUCAGGAAGAACACCAAUGGCGUAAAGCAGCUCUCUGGGACGGUACUGACGCUGAGACGCGAAAGCGUGGGGAGCGAACAGG